AGCUAGUUGGUGAGGUAAAGGCUCACCAAGGCGACGAUCCUUAGCUGGUCUGAGAGGAUGAUCAGCCACACUGGGACUGAGACACGGCCCAGACUCCUACGGGAGGCAGCAGUAGGGAAUCUUGCGCAAUGGGCGAAAGCCUGACGCAGCAACGCCGCGUGCGGGAAGAAGGCUUUCGGGCUGUAAACCGCUUUCAGUAGGAACGAAACUGACGGUACCUACAGAAGAAGGAGCGGCCAACUAUGUGCCAGCAGCCGCGGUGAUACAUAGGCUCCAAGCGUUGUCCGGAUUUAUUGGGCGUAAAGAGCUCGUAGGCGGUUGAGUAAGUCGGGUGUGAAAACUUUGGGCUUAACCCAAAGAUGCCACUCGAUACUGUUCAACUUGAGUUUGGUAGGGGAGUGGGGAAUUCCUUGUGUAGCGGUGAAAUGCGCAGAUAUAAGGGGGAACACCGGUGGCGAAGGCGCCACUCUGGGCCAAUACUGACGCUGAGGAGCGAAAGCGUGGGGAGCAAACAGGAUUAGAUA
rnacentral:rRNA from 1 species